GUCCACGCCCUAAACUAUGUCAACUAGCUGUUGGGCUCAUAUAAGGGCUUAGUGGCGCAGCUAACGCGAUAAGUUGACCGCCUGGGGAGUACGGUCGCAAGAUUAAAACUCAAAGGAAUUGACGGGGCCCGGCACAAGCGGUGGAGCAUGUGGUUUAAUUUCGAUGCAACGCGAAGAACCUUACCUACCCUUGACAUCCUCGGAACUUGUCAGAGAUGACUUGGUGCCUUCGGGAACCGAGAGACAGGUGCUGCAUGGCUGUCGU
rnacentral:rRNA from 1 species